ACAAGAAAUAGCAUAUAGUGUAGUGUGUUUUGUUUACACCAAAAAGGAGGAUUAUCCUUUCUUGUG
rnacentral:tRNA from 1 species